UCCUCGGUAGCUCAAUAGGCAGAGCAGAGACUGACGAGUCUUUAUCGCGAGAGCGGAAGAUGCGGUGUUCGAAUCCCGUCCGAGGAGCAA
rnacentral:tRNA from 2 species